CUGCUUUGCUGACGAGUGGCGGACGGGUGAGUAAUGUCUGGGAAACUGCCUGAUGGAGGGGGAUAACUACUGGAAACGGUAGCUAAUACCGCAUAACGUCGCAAGACCAAAGAGGGGGACCUUCGGGCCUCUUGCCAUCGGAUGUGCCCAGAUGGGAUUAGCUAGUAGGUGGGGUAACGGCUCACCUAGGCGACGAUCCCUAGCUGGUCUGAGAGGAUGACCAGCCACACUGGAACUGAGACACGGUCCAGACUCCUACGGGAGGCAGCAGUGGGGAAUAUUGCACAAUGGGCGCAAGCCUGAUGCAGCCAUGCCGCGUGUAUGAAGAAGGCCUUCGGGUUGUAAAGUACUUUCAGCGGGGAGGAAGGCGAUAAGGUUAAUAACCUUGUCGAUUGACGUUACCCGCAGAAGAAGCACCGGCUAACUCCGUGCCAGCAGCCGCGGUAAUACGGAGGGUGCAAGCGUUAAUCGGAAUUACUGGGCGUAAAGCGCACGCAGGCGGUCUGUCAAGUCGGAUGUGAAAUCCCCGGGCUCAACCUGGGAACUGCAUUCGAAACUGGCAGGCUAGAGUCUUGUAGAGGGGGGUAGAAUUCCAGGUGUAGCGGUGAAAUGCGUAGAGAUCUGGAGGAAUACCGGUGGCGAAGGCGGC
rnacentral:rRNA from 1 species